CCUCUCACGCGCCCAGCUGACGGCCGGACGCCAUCUUGGAGGGGCGCGAGCCGCCUUCCUCCGACGGGAGGGGGAAGGGGGCCGCGCGCAGCGAGAGGCCGAGGCGCGCGCCCGCCUACCCCACCCCUCCGCCCACUGGGUGUGCCGGAGCUGGACCCGGCGCCGCCCAUUGGCUGGCCGCUGAUGGACGCGACCGGCUUCCCCCCUCCCGGCCUGUAUCGCGUCAGAGCGCGGCUGUGGCCGCCGGGAAGGAGGUGAGGGCUGUCGGCUCUGCGCCUCAUCUAAAGAGGAGCAUUGCAAGGCUAAUUUUGGCUGCUCUUGUGGGAUAGGUGCAAAGGCUUGGUCACAGAAACUACAGGGAUUUCAGCAGAAGCAGCCUUGGCCUCUGAACGACCCCAGCCUGCUUUAAAGCUCGAACUGCCUGCUUUACCUUGUGCCUGACUUGAUGGGAACCCAAAGUGCGUCAAGCUCCUUGCAACCCUUCAUUGCACAUCCACUACGGAAUCACGAAUAGCUCUCUUGGCGAGACUCCCUCCCAUGAGACCGAUAAACCUCUGCAGGCUCUUCUGCAGAACCAAAGUUUGGCAGAAGAUGGGUGCCUAUAUAAAUGCUUUAAAUAAAUGAAAUAAAAGCACGCUCAAAUGUU